rnacentral:rRNA from 1 species
CAGCUUGUUGGUGAGGUAACGGCUCACCAAGGCGACGACGGGUAGCCGGCCUGAGAGGGUGACCGGCCACACUGGGACUGAGACACGGCCCAGACUCCUACGGGAGGCAGCAGUGGGGAAUAUUGCACAAUGGGCGAAAGCCUGAUGCAGCAACGCCGCGUGAGGGACGACGGCCUUCGGGUUGUAAACCUCUUUUAGCAGGGAAGAAGCGAAAGUGACGGUACCUGCAGAAAAAGCACCGGCUAACUACGUGCCAGCAGCCGCGGUAAUACGUAGGGUGCAAGCGUUGUCCGGAAUUAUUGGGCGUAAAGAGCUCGUAGGCGGUUUGUCGCGUCUGCUGUGAAAUCCCGAGGCUCAACCUCGGGUCUGCAGUGGGUACGGGCAGACUAGAGUGCGGUAGGGGAGAUUGGAAUUCCUGGUGUAGCGGUGGAAUGCGCAGAUAUCAGGAGGAACACCGAUGGCGAAGGCAGAUCUCUGGGCCGCUACUGACGCUGAGGAGCGAAAGGGUGGGGAGCAAACAGGCUUAGAUACCCUGGUAGUCCACCCCGU